ACACGAUAAUAGCUAUAUGAAGGGCUAAGAAUGUAGCUCCGUGGUGUGGCGUUUGCCUAGCAUGCACGAGGUGCUAGGUUCGGUUCCCAGUGCUUGGGGGAAAUAAAAAGGAAAUCAAAAGUCAGUUUGGAAACUUCUUCCUCUAGGUUUUUGUUUUAAUCCUGGAAUUACUCAGUAACAUGCCCACAGACGCUUCACCCGUUCUCUGAGAUUCCAUAGUGAAUUCCAUCUGGUCUGACCCUUCACAAAGCCCCCUGGAGGGUGGGCCCUAUGUGGGGGUGGGGACAUGGGGACAAGGAGCUUGGACUCACUGACCUCUCUGUUCCAGGAAACCACGGCCACUCGGUAAGGGACAGCCAUGCCUCUCUGGGCCACAGCUCCGGCAGCUUCGUCGGUCCCACCCUGGGACAUGCUCUUCAGACAGCUGUGACCCAGCUUGACCUCAGACCAGCAUGGGGGAGCCCUGCACUUCCCCUCCCCAGUGGGAGAAGUAGCACUUUGUCCCAUGGCGAAUCACGGCCCCUGCUCUUUCCAGAGAGGAAGAGAAUGAAAAUCUUGGCUUACCUACGUGGCAGUAUUCUCAUGAGCACUUCGUACACGCCCCACUGUGCAAAGACCUCCACAGACUCAAACGUUAUUCUUGUACGUUUUUAAUCAGUUCUUCCUGCAGACUCUGGAGUCAGUGCUCUGAUCCCUUUUUUAUAAAUAAUAUAUAUUAUGUAUAUGAA
rnacentral:lncRNA from 1 species